CGGUCCUAAGGUAGCGAAAUUCCUUGUCGGGCAAGUUCCGACCUGCACGAAUGGCAUAAUAAUGGCCACACUGUCUCCUCCCGAGACUCAGUGAAAUUGAAAUGUUUGUGAUGAUGCAAUCUCCCCGCGGCUAGACGGAAAGACCCCAUGAACCUUUACUGUAGCUUUGCAUUGGACUUUGAACCGAUCUGUGUAGGAUAGGCGGGAGACUGUGAAGCGAGGACGCCAGUUCUCGCGGAGUCGUCCUUGAAAUACCGCCCUGAUUUGUUUGAGGUUCUAACCUAGGUCAGUCAUCCUGAUCGGGGACCGUGCAUGGUAGGCAGUUUGACUGGGGCGGUCUCCUCCUAAAGGGUAACGGAGGAGUGCGAAGGUACGCUAAUCACGGUCGGAAAUCGUGAGGAUACUGCAAUGGGAAAAGCGUGCCUGACUGCGAGACAGACAAGUCGAGCAGAUGCGAAAGCAGGUCAUAGUGAUCCGGUGGCUUCUGUAUGGAAGGGCCAUCGCUCAACGGAUAAAAGGUACUCUGGGGAUAACAGGCUGAUACCGCCCAAGAGUUCAUAUCGACGGCGGUGUUUGGCACCUCGAUGUCGGCUCAUCUCAUCCUGGGGCUGUAGCCGGUCCCAAGGGUAUGGCUGUUCGCCAUUUAAAGAGGUACGUGAGCUGGGUUUAAAACGUCGUGAGACAGUUUGGUCCCUAUCUACCGCGGGCGCUGGAAGAUUGACAGGGGCUGCUCCUAGUACGAGAGGACCGGAGUGGACGCACCUCUGGUGUAUCGGUUGUGACGCCAGUCGCAUUGCCGAGUAGCUAUGUGCGGAAGAGAUAACCGCUGAAAGCAUCUAAGCGGGAAACUUGCCUGAAGAUUAGUCUUCCCGGAGGCUUGACCUCCCUGAAGGGUCGUCCGAGACCAGGACGUUGAUAGGCCAGGUGUGGAAGCGCUGUGAGGCGUGAAGCUAACUGGUACUAAUUGCCCGUGCGGCUUGAUCCU
rnacentral:rRNA from 1 species